rnacentral:rRNA from 1 species
GACAGAGGGUGCAAACGUUGCUCGGAAUCACUGGGCGUAAAGGGCGUGUAGGCGGGAAGGCAAGUCAGACGUGAAAUCCCUGGGCUCAACCCAGGAACUGCAUUUGAAACUCCCUUUCUUGAGUACCGGAGAGGAAGGUGGAAUUCCUGGUGUAGAGGUGAAAUUCGUAGAUAUCAGGAGGAACACCGGUGGCGAAGGCGGCCUUCUGGACGGUAACUGACGCUGAGACGCGAAAGCGUGGGGAGCAAACAGG